rnacentral:rRNA from 2 species
GGGUUCUAUCGUUGGUCGGGCUAUCCAGUCUGUACUAGCGUGUAGAAUUCUUACCUUCUGGGGGACCAUCAUGUUAUUAAUUUAGCGUGGUGGGAAACCAGGACCUUUACCUUGAAAAAAUUAGAGUGUUCAAAGCAGGCUUAUGUCUGAAUACAUUAGCAUGGAAUAAUAGAAUAGGACGGUGGUCCUGUUUUGUUGGUUUCUGAAUCACCGUAAUGAUUAAUAGGGAUAGUUG